rnacentral:tRNA from 1 species
GGCGAGAUAGCUCAACGGUAGAGCAUCAGAAUCAUAAUCUGCUGGUUGAGGGUUCGAAUCCCCCUCUCGCCACCA